rnacentral:rRNA from 1 species
UAGAGUUUGAAUCCUUGCUCAGGAUGAACGCUGGCGGCGUGCCUAAUACAUGCAAGUCGAACGCUUUGUGGUUCAACUGAUUUGAAGAGCUUGCUCAGAUAUGACGAUGGACAUUGCAAAGAGUGGCGAACGGGUGAGUAACACGUGGGAAACCUACCUCUUAGCAGGGGAUAACAUUUGGAAACAGAUGCUAAUACCGUAUAACAAUAGCAACCGCAUGGUUGCUACUUAAAAGAUGGUUCUGCUAUCACUAAGAGAUGGUNCCCGCGGUGCAUUAGUUAGUUGGUGAGGUAAUGGCUCACCAAGACGAUGAUGCAUAGCCGAGUUGAGAGACUGAUUCGGCCACAAUGGA